UCCUACGGGGGGCAGCAGUGAGGAAUAUUGGUCAAUGGACGGAAGUCUGAACCAGCCAUGCCGCGCGCAGGAAUACGGCUCUAUGAGUUGUAAACUGCUUUUGUACAAGGGUAAACCUGAAUACGUGUAUUCAGCUGAAAGUACUGUACGAACAAGGAUCGGCUAACUCCGUGCCAACAGCCGCGGUAAUACGGAGGAUCCAAGCGUUAUCCGGGUUUAUUUGGUUUAAAGGGUUCGUAGGCGGAUUGAUAAGUU
rnacentral:rRNA from 1 species